GACGAACGCUGGCGGCGUGCUUAACACAUGCGAGUCGAACGGAAAGGCCCCCUUGUGGGGUACUCGAGUGGCGAACGGGUGAGUAACACGUGAGUAACCUACCCUUGACUUUGGGAUAACUUCAGGAAACUGGGGCUAAUACCGGAUAGGAGCUCCUGCUGCAUGGUGGGGGUUGGAAAGUUUCGGCGGUUGGGGAUGGACUCGCGGCUUAUCAGCUUGUUGGUGGGGUAGUGGCUCACCAAGGUUUUGACGGGUAGCCGGCCUGAGAGGGUGACCGGCCACAUUGGGACUGAGAUACGGCCCAGACUCCUACGGGAGGCAGCAGUGGGGAAUAUUGCACAAUGGGCGGAAGCCUGAUGCAGCAACGCCGCGUGCGGGAUGACGGCCUUCGGGUUGUAAACCGCUUUCGCCUGUGACGAAGCGUGAGUGACGGUAAUGGGUAAAGAAGCACCGGCUAACUACGUG
rnacentral:rRNA from 1 species